GUUAAGCUGAAGUGAUUUGAAUGUCUUCAUCCAAGUCUCCUGAGAAUCCAGCAACUCCUUUGACGUGUGGCUUCUACAAACUCCCACCUGGUCUGGAGGGUUCUGUAUGUAGGUAAUGAUGCCUUGGGACUUUUUCUCCUCACCUGAAGUUGUACAGCGGUAGAGAAACAAGACUGGCUAUGACUUGUCAGCAGAGAAGAUAAAAGCUGUCAGCCACGGACUGGAGUUGAGAAAGGGCAUGGGAAACUGAGAAAACGACCAGAAUCGCUGGCAAUCCACUGGCUGGCACAAUGCUGAAUCUCGAUGAGACUGCUGUCUUCGAAUCUUUGCAGAUGUGAUUAAGUGAAGGAUCACGAGAUAAGAUCAUCCUCCAUUGAGGGCUGGCCCUACAUCCAAUGAUUGUCCUUAUACGGAAAGGAGACAAAUUUUGGAUACAGAGACCGGGAAGGCCUGCAGAGAUUUGGAGCAAUCUACACAAUGAGGAGCUCUGAGGGUUCUUAGCGGCCACCAGAAGCCAGGAGAGAGGGAUGGAACAGAUUCUGUUUCAGACCUUCCAGAAGGAACCAACACUGCUGAUGUCUUGAUUUUGGACUCGUGUCCUCCAGAACUGUGAAAGAACAGAUUUCCACUGUUUUAGGUCAUUAAAUCUACAGUCAUUUGUUAUGACAGUUCUGGGAGAGUAACACCCCAUUCCCAUUGAGAAACCUUGUUAUGAGGACUUGCCAGGCUGCUGGUUCCCCUGGGCUGUUCACCCUGGUUUAUCUGUCCUGGAGGACCAUGUUUUCCCUUGGCUGUCGAUGCUCCCUUUGGCAAAUUUUGGUAUGUUACCACUUUGAUAACGCUGCUCCCUUUCUGAAGCUGCAGUGAGUUCCAGAUGAUUCCAAGUGACAUUUAAAUACAUUCUCACAUCUUAA